rnacentral:rRNA from 1 species
UAAAACGGGGGUAGCGAGCGUUGUUCGGAUUUACUGGGUGUAAAGGGCAGGUAGGCGGUUAUACAAGUCGAAUGUGAAAUCCUUGGGCUCAACCCAAGAAGGGCAUUCGAUACUGUAUAUCUUGAGCGUGAGAGAGGAGAGUGGAACUCCCGGUGUAAGGGUGAAAUCUGUAGAUAUCGGGAGGAACGCCAGUGGUGAAGACGGCUCUCUGGAUCACAACUGACGCUCAGCUGCGAAAGCUAGGGGAGCAAACAGGAUUAGAUACCCUGGUAGUCCUAGCCGUAAACGAUGAGCACUAGGUGUCGGGGCUUAAAGCUUCGAUGCCGAAGUUUACACAAUAAGUGCUCCACCUGGGGAGUACGGCCGCAAGGUUG